GUUGCCCUACGGGGCCAGCAGUGAGGAAUAUUGGUCAAUGGCCGGAAGGCUGAACCAGCCAAGCCGCGUGAAGGACGAAGGUGCCAAGCAUUGUAAACUUCUUUUGUCAAGGGACAAAAUCAGGCUCGAGAGCCUGACCGAGGGUACUUGAAGAAAAAGCAUCGGCUAACUCCGUGCCAGCAGCCGCGGUAAUACGGAGGAUGCGAGCGUUAUCCGGAUUUAUUGGGUUUAAAGGGUGCGUAGGCGGAAUAUCAAGUCAGCGGUAAAAAUUCGGGGCUCAACCCCGUCGUGCCGUUGAAACUGAU
rnacentral:rRNA from 1 species